GGAGGGUGCAAGCGUUGUUCGGAAUUACUGGGCGUAAAGAGCGUGUAGGCGGUUUGGUAAGUCAGAUGUGAAAGCCCUGGGCUCAACCCGGGAAGUGCAUUUGAAACUGCCAUGCUAGAGUAUGGGAGGGGAGAGUGGAAUUCCUAGUGUAGAGGUGAAAUUCGUAGAUAUUAGGAGGAACAUCCGUGGCGAAGGCGACUCUCUGGACCAAUACUGACGCUGAGACGCGAAAGCGUGGGGAGCGAACAGGGAUUAGAUACCCUGGUAGUCCACGCCGUAAACGAUGAGAACUAGGUGUAGCGGGUAUUGACCCCCCUGCUGUGCCGAAGUUAACGCAUUAAGUUCUCCGCCUGGGGAUACGGUCGCAAGAUUA
rnacentral:rRNA from 1 species